UUUGCUUAAAAUAAAAGGUCCAGCCUGCCCAGUGACACUGUUCAACGGCCGCGGUAUCCUAACCGUGCGAAGGUAGCGUAAUCACUUGUUCUUUAAAUGAGGACUAGUAUGAAAGGCACCACGAGAGUCAUACUGUCUCCUCUUUCCAAUCAGUUAAACUAAUCUCCCCGUGAAGAAGCGGGGAUAACUUUAUAAGACGAAAAGACCCUAUGGAGCUUAAAACGAAUAACACUUGCCCACCUCCCCUUUAAUUUCAGAAAAAUCUAUUACCUUGGCACCAUACUUAUAAGUUUUUGAUUGGGGUGAUCACGGAACAAAAAAUAACCUCCGCAAUGAAAGACUCUCCAUAACUAAGUCAAGAACCACAACUCUACACAUCAACAAAUUGACACCAAUUGACCCAAUUUAUUGAUCAAUGAAC
rnacentral:rRNA from 1 species